AUUGAACGCUGGCGGCAUGCUUUACACAUGCAAGUCGAACGGUAACAGGGUGCUUGCACCGCUGACGAGUGGCGAACGGGUGAGUAAUGCGUCGGAACGUGCCGAGUAGUGGGGGAUAACGCAGCGAAAGUUGUGCUAAUACCGCAUACGUACUGAGGUAGAAAGUGGGGGACCUUCGGGCCUCACGCUAUUCGAGCGGCCGACGUCUGAUUAGCUAGUAGGUGAGGUAGAGGCGCACCUAGGCGACGAUCAGUAGCGGGUCUGAGAGGAUGAUCCGCCACACUGCGACUGAGAAACGGCCCAGACUCCUACGGGAGGAAGCAGUGGGGAAUUUUGGACAAUGGGCGAAAGCCUGAUCCAGCCAUGCCGCGUGUCUGAAGAAGGCCUUCGGGUUGUAAAGGACUUUUGUCAGGGAGGAAAUCCCUAGUGCUAAUAACACUGGGGGAUGACAGUACCUGAAGAAUAAGCACCGGCUAACUACGUGCCAGCCGCCGCCGUAAAAC
rnacentral:rRNA from 1 species